rnacentral:lncRNA from 1 species
AGAGGAAAAUCUCCAUUCAAUUCAUGAUAAAAGUUUUGUUCCAAAUAAUGGCAAUAGCAUCCUAUUUAUAUGAAACUCUAAAGCCUAAUUUUAAAAAGGAAAAUUCGUGCAAAAAUAAGGUAGAAAUAUUAAAAGAUUAGAGUUCUAAAUAGAAAAGGAAACUCGCGAAAAUAAUAAAAAUUCAGCGCCGAAUUUUUUGUUCACUCCAGCUCCAGUUUUCAGCUUCUGUUGCACUUCCAUUGGUUGACACACCGGUCCAACAUGUUUUGUCUCCCCUCAACAGCUUUGAAUUCUUGAUGUUUUCAACCCCUAUUAAUUUCAUAACUUGAACAUGAGUUUUUUGUCCAGCUUGCUUCAUUCUUCAGUUGUCUUCAAUAGGUUGAUGCCAAAUGUUUUGGACGUCACUCCCAACACAACACUUAACCUUUGGCUUGACGACUUCAACUCUUUUACGCUUCANG